GCAAGAACAAGAAGGCAAGAGAGGGAGGAGGGGUCAAGCAGCCUGGUUUACAUUGAGUCAGGCACACCUGGCCGUUGCCUGGUAACUGGGUGGAGCCUAGGCGGUUUAGUUUUUGGGAUAGGGUCUUGUUAUAGGUCUCAGACUGGCCUCAAACUUGAAGCGUUCCUAUUCACAUGGUCGCCAUCUCCUGGCAAUCCUCCUGCUUCAGCCACACAGGAGGUGAGAUUGUAGUCAUGAGCCGCCGUGCCUGUCUUAGACAACAUCUCUAGGGGCUGCAGGGAGACCACAUCUCUGCGUCACUAGCUCACUCCAUUGUCCCCUCUUGGCCCUUGUCAUCUCCUCAGCGUUUCCCUCCUGCCUCACUCCGGCAGUUACACUGCAUUCUAGGGGAACUGGCAUGCACUAAACAUCUUUACAGAAAGGAACAGAAACUAGCCCCAGGGAACAACACUUGCAGGACUUUUUACAGUCCCUAAAGAGAACAGACUUCAUGACAGCAGGGUUGCACCCAGAACUGGAGUGAGUACCUAGGAACCGUUUCCCUGAAGUGAUGACGCAUGCAGAACUGAUCCCAGCGAACUGACCAAACCACUGACCUGACCAGAACCACGUGCUCCAUCAGCUCUUUAGCCUAACAACCCCUCUUUUUCUCUUUUCUGCAACAUCGUAAAGUUCUCACGUGCUCCCUGAAUAUGGGCUCGGGUCACUGAACCCCAUUAUCUCUUCUACUCAAUGUGUCCACUCUGGUGAAAUACCAUUUCUCUACCUUUCUGCACUACUGGUCUCUUUGAUUGGCAUGUUGGGAGAGUCUGCUCCAGGUUACCUUUGCCCUAAGAUUCUUAACACUCAAGGACACACAUGGAUGUAAAUAAAAUGCUGUUAGACACUUCCGGUCCCUGGGCAGUGUCUGCAGAGACUUGGGAGUCUAGCUGAGCAGUCUCCUCAUUUGCAAAUGAGAAACUCUGGCCUCCUAAGUCUACCAGGGUUAAACCAGCAGGGGUUGGCUUCAACUGACGGUGAAGGUGGUUAACCCUUCGGCUGCUCACCAUUCAGCAAGGAUCAGCUACUCUCAGACUCUGGAUGACCCCAAGUGGCCAGUCUGGGCAUCUCCCUCCCUUCCGUGAAGGUUGCCGUAGAUAAGGAAAGUCCAGUUUCCCUCAUUCCAUAUCCUUACUCUUUCUGUUUUUUUCUUUUUUUUUUUUUAAUUGUUAAUGUUUGUUUUUUUCUUUACUAUUGUUGCUGUUUGGGGUUUUGUUUUGUCUUGUUUUGCUUUUCAGGACAGGGUUUUCUCCUGGAACUCUCUCUGUAGACCAAGCUGGCCUUGAACUCACAAAGAUCCACCCGCCUCUGCCUUCUGAGUGCUGGAAUUAAAAGCGUGUGCCACCACCACCCAGCUGCUCAUUUCCCUUUUAAUUUCCUUCCCUUAUCUAGAAAGGACUUGAGGGGCUCUUGAUGAUGCUUACAUCAAACUGAUCAGAAGUCCCCCGGGGAGGGCACCUGGGAUGUGAGCUCUUCCCAUGAGGACAUAGAUACAGACAACACAGGGUCAGUGUCUGCUGGACCUGUUCAUGAGGUGCCUCUGGUGCUCCAUGAUACCAGAGAAGUCAUUUCCAAUGGAGCCAAGCAAGUAAACCAGAGCUCUCCUCACCCCUAGACAAGUGCGAAAGGCCCUCCCAGGACCUCGGAGUGCUUGUGCACUUAUGUGUCCUGUCUUCCCCACCCUGCUCCAAGGAGGAGAAUAAUGAGCAAGAAGGAGGCUGGGAUGCAGGUCCAGGAUAUGAGAGACCUCAGAGUGAGUUCUGACUGAAGAUGGGAAACCUUAAAAGGGUGGGACUCACUGGGGGUGUGGUCAGCAGGUGCAGACCGUGGACUCUCAGCUGAGAGACUAGGUUAAGGCAUGACAAUACUCUUCAAUCACUGGGUAUAUGGUUCUGCCUGGGUUAACUAUCCUGCAACAAUUUAAAUACACUUUAGGGAAAACUGCACAAAAGUUGUGUAAAUGAACAGCCAUUGCUGAAACAACCCGCUACCACAAAAUUUUCUAUGGAACUCACUUGAGGAGCCUGAGAGGUGGCUGAGGAGUUAAGCGAUUACAGAUUACGGAGUUUGAUUUCUACAACACACAACUGCCUAUAACUCCAGCUCCAGGAGAUCCGACACACUUCUGGAUGGCCUCCUCAAGUACAUAAUUAAAAAUAAAUACUUUUAAAAACUCACUUAGAUACCACUGGGUAUCACAUUAAACAAAACCAGACAAAAGCAUCACUUAGAGCCUGAAAAUUUCCCUUAAAUUGCUUUAGGUCGAGCUGGAGAGUGCCAACAGACCUAACAGACAGGGAGGGCAUCAGAGGCCGAAGCUAGGGAUAAAUGGGAGCUUGGGGACAGGGGACAUCUUGUUUGAAGUGAGAGAUGCCUGUGAGUCUGUCCCAGGAGGACCGCGAUCCACAGUUACCCUUGGGGGAAUUCUGAUACUCAUAUUGUCUGGGGUUGUUUCCAUAGCACCUCCCUUUAUAGCACCUCUAUGCUGCUGCUUCAAAUGUUUGGGGUACAUCUCUCCAAGGUAAAUGCAAAGCAGUUGCCAGCAGGACCUACAGGACGGACUCCUCCAUGGUGGGCAUCUGUGAAGGGCAGGUCACUGCAGAAAAAGUAACUGAAAGACGCUGAAGACACGGUUUAAUCAGUACAGUGCUUGCCGCACAAGCACAGGGACCUGAGUUCAGGUUCCCCAGAACUUACAUAAAAGCCCAAUACAGUGGUAUGGUCUGUAAUCUCUGCUCCUGCAGGCAGGGGUCAGGGUGGAGGGAUGACAAAGACCUGCAGCUUGGUGGCCAGUCAAUCUAGCCUAGUUGGCAAGCUCCAGGCUAGUGAGGAAUCCCUUCUCAAAAAAAAUAAGGUGGAAAACAAUGGAGAAAGACUGUCAGAAGAUAGCCUCUGGAACACACACACACACACACACACACACACACACACACACACCACACACACACACCACACACACACACCACACACACACACCACACACACACCACACACACACACACCACACACACACACACACACCACACCACACACACACACCACACACCACACACACACACACACCACAGCAUACACACACCACAGCACACACACACCACAGCACACACCACACACCACACACCACACACCACAGACCCCAAUACACACCACACACCACACCACACACCACACACCCCACACACACCACACCACACACACACAUCCCACACACACCACACACACAUACCACAUGCACACCCCACAUACUCACCACACAUACACCCCACACACACCACACACCACAUACUCACCACACACAUACACACACCACAUGCACACACUCCACACAUUCACCACACACACACACACACCACCCACACACCACACACACCAUACACACACACACACCUCAUACCCCACACACCCCCAGACACCACACACCACACACCCACACACUACACACACACAUACACACACAACACACAUAAAUGCACCACACACCACAUACACACACACACCACACACACACUAAACACACAUCACACACACAUACACCACACACACCACACACACACAUACACAUACACCACACAUACAACACACAUACAACACAUCACACAUAUACACCAUACACACACAUAAUGGAGGGGUUGGAUAGACACAGACUGGACAAAAGCAGUUGAAAAUAAUUCCCUCUUUCUGUACAAUUUAGACUUUAUGAUAAUGUCGUGUUUUAUAGUUAGGAAAAGUGGAAAUAGCGGCUCCUAAUAGGCCUGGAAGAGAGGAACCCCACCCCCAUCCCCAGGGUUAGUUAUUCACGUGUGUUUCUGAAAUACAUUUUUACAAACUGAAAAGGACAUAUGCAUUUAUAAAAGAUAAGAGCCCCGAAGGAGCUGUGGCUGUGACCAAGUGAGGAUGAAGACCUCCCAGGGUCAGUGGUUGGCCUCACUGUCAUCUUAACCAACCAGGAAAAGCCGGGACAGGUAGGUAAGGUGGAGGCUGGGGUGAGAGUCAUGGACUGUGCUUGGCUUGCUUCCAGGGGGUGUUUGUUGACCACCCCUACGAAGCAACUUCACUUUGUCCUUUGAACUGGCUAAAUGGAAGGAGGGUAGGUGGGGUAAAGACAGUAAAAUCUGUCGGUGCUGGUCUCCACAGAGGCCACCCAAGACACCAGCCUCAGAGCACAGCCUGGGCAGCAAUGAGCCACCUUUGUCCAACCUGAGACCCCAGAGCAGUGUAAGAGAAUGAGCCACACCGGCCCACGGCAGCAUGUCCCAUCUGUGCCUGCCUGGAGCGCCAAAGCUGGUCAGGGACGGCCAGGCCCCCUUCCCCGACCUCACCCUCGUCAAUCUGCUUUAAACCCAUGACUCCUUCCUUCCAUUGCCCCAGUGUACUGGUGAACCUCCCAACCUUGGGUACCCACCCCAGCCACCCCUCACCUCAGCCUCAGGACCACAUCAUGGGCUUGACCUUCCUACACUGUUCCACCAUGCCUCCCAGACGUAGCUGUGGAGGGCUGAGGGGCACUGAGACCCUGGAAUGUCCUUCACCCUCCAUUCCCACCCAGCCCGAAGCUACGCAAGUCUGAUUUUCUUGUCACUUCCCAUAUCCACGAAUUUAAUCCUGAGUCCCCAUUCGCUCAGAAACAUGCACAGUCUUUCACCAGACAAGAUCACACAUGUGCAUGCAGCACAACCCUACAUACCCACGGGUAUAUGUCAGCCUAGAGCUGGGGUCAACCUGGACCCGACCUGCAGAGAGAGAUCUGGUCUACUGAGGUAUAUGGUUGCCCUCCAUUGUUCAAGGACAGCAUUCCCGAGUCCAACAACGGAGGAGCCAUUCCUAGAUUGUUCCAGAUUCAGGAGGCACACAGCCUUUCCAGCCAUACCAAGGCCCAGGGUAGGAGUUCCAUUAACAGCAUGGCCUGGGGACUCCCUGGAGAAAUGACAGCUCUCAGCCUAGCCAGGUCAAGCCAGAUUGCUUCUCCCUUGGCCAAGGUCUCCUGAGAUGUUCUGGAAAUUGGAGCUAGGAGACAUGGGUACUGACUGGAUACUUAACUGUUCUUCAAUUUACUCUCAAGCAAAUGUGGAAGGGGCCAGGGGUAGGGUCCACAGUCCCAGGCAAUGCUGAGAAAGCCAGGCCUGAGCCAUGAACCCAAAGAAGAUCAAGCCUGCCUAGAUUUUUCUCCCUGUCCAGCAGGUCAAGCAGACAAGGGCAGGGUUUGGUAGGGCCUAAAGUAGUGACUCCUCCUCGCCCUGGGAGAGCUUAGUUCAUUCCCAAGAGGCUCCCAGGUUCUAGGAAUUGGUGGAAGUAAUCACUCCGAGCUAGAGUCCUGGGUCUAGACAUGCUUUGAGUUUGGUGUCCAGAUCCAUGUGAAUAGAAAAGAAGUCAACUAAACAUGCAGGCUGGCCUGUAUGUAUGUGUGAUAUGUGCACAUGUGAAGAGCUUGUGUGUGUGUGUGUGUGUGUGUGUGUGUGUGUGUGUGUGUUUUCCUGGGUACAGGUGUGCUAUGUGUUCUUGUGGACUUGUGUCCUGGACUCCCAGCUCAGGUGCAGCUUUCUGACUUCUGGCCAGGUGCACCAGGGUCCCCUGGGGUGGGCAGGCAGGUGAGCACUCUGGACAAGGCAAUCAUAGUUCUUCUAGGGUUAAACUUGAGGAACUGUUUGCUUGGUGGCCUUGGAGGGCCAGCGGGAGUUCCCACGGCCUGGCCUGCGAGUGUUCCUGAUUUGUUGGUGUGGGCAGGGGAGAGAGAAAGAAACAUCAAGAGGCUGAGAUUAUUUCUCUAGAGGGAGUGACAGGCUCAGCCUUGAAAUGAAGACCUAGAGUGGAGGCCACCUCCACCCAAAGCACAGGACCAUCUGUGCUACCCCCACCCCACCCUAACCUCACACCAACCACCAGGUCCAGGAGAAGCCUGAGCCUCACUGACCAGAAACCCUCACAAACCCUGGGGGCUUCCUAUAAUGCUCUGCCUUUCCCAGCUGAGAAUGAAGACCCAAGUCUGGCUCCUGACCUUAAGUCCACAUUCUCUCCGUACACUGUAUGAAGCCCACUAAAUUUAGCUGGUGAAAAUUCAGAACACCCAGUCAAAUUCAAAUUUCAGAUGAGUGCAUAAUUUUGGGGUUCAGUAUCCUCAUAAUGGGAAGUAUUUAUGUUAAGAAAGUUUCCAUAUUGCUUUCCAGGUUCCGGCCCAGGCCACGACGACAUGGCUAAAUGCACCAAGAAGGCCCAGAUUGUCAGCAAAUACAGAACAGCUGGGGCUAAGAAAGCCCAGCCAAGAGCACUGGCUGCUCUUGCAGAGGACCCAGCUUGAUUCCUAGCACCCAUAUGUUGGCUCACAACCAUCUACAACUCCAGUUCUAGGAGAUCCAAUACCCUCCUCUGACCUCCGCGGGCACCAGGAGAGUACAUACAUACAUGCAAGAGAAAUAUUCAUUCACAGAAAAUAAUAGUGUUGUUGUUGUUGUUGUUUUUAAGUGGAACCAGUUACAAUGUCUUCCUCCAGAAAAUGGUGGGUUGAAAGCAGCCAGCACAUCAAGCACUCUUGGUCCUUUUGUGGCAAAACCAAGAUGAAAAGAUGGGCCGUUGAAAACCUGACACUGUGGUUCCUGAAUGGAAACACUACAUGGUGAGGCUUGGGUCUACAACACCACUUCUGCUGGCACAGUCAAGCCUACGGUCCGAAGACUGAAGGAAAAACCAGGAGAAACGCUACCAUUUAACAUGGCCCUAGCCUGCAGUAAAUGAGUCAAUUCAUAUAAUUAAAAAAGAAAAAAACUUGUCCAUGUUGUCUGAGAUUCAAAUCUGACCACGCUCUCCGUGUGUGUGUGUGUGUGUGUGUGUGUGUGCAUCCACACACAGGCACCUUAGGCACACACUCGGAGUGCAGAAGAUAUUGGGUGUCUUCCUCUGUCAUUCUGCCUUGUUCCCUUGAGAUGAACUUUUAUGGAACCUGAAAUUAGGUUUCCGUUAGGCUGACCGGCGGGGUGGCCAAAGAGUUCUCAGGAUCUGCCCAUCUCUGCCUACUGGGAUUACAGGAGCAUGCACCCAUGCCUGGCUUUUUUUCGAUAGGUGCUGAGGAUUUGAACUCUGGCCCUCUCAGUUUCAUAGCAGAUGCUUUUACACCCCCCCCCCCACCAGCUCUCUCCCUAAUCUGUCUCCUGUUUACGUGGUAAGGCCUCAUAGGAUCAGCUGUUAAACUGUCUCAGGAUGAAGACAUCACCCCCACUUUGCUGGGCAACUUGCAUUGUUUCUACUUUUAUUUGAGAACUGUUUGCAGAUGGUGUGAUCCACUAACCUUCUAGGGUCGAGGGUCAGUGGUAGAAUGUCUGCCUCACAUGUAUGGUGGCCCUGGGUUCAAUCCCCUGCCAACAAAUCUCUCAAAUUCACUAUCCAGGGAUUUGACAAAUGCACGUGGCUGUGACAAAUGCUUGCAGCUGUGAGCAACACCUCCCUGGGCAACCUAGUAUCCCACUUAACGUGUGUUGCUUCUUUUACCUACUGUUCCUCUGUUCAUGCUUGUCAUCCUUCCUGUGACAGUGGCAUCCAGCUUGGGGUCAUCCUUGCUCAGGUCUUGGGAGACCAGAGACCUCAAGAGCACACAUCUUGGGUAAAGUUGCCAGGCUGCUGGGGACAGGAAGUUUAUAAUGCUCCCAGGGGACUGUCGUGUCCAGCACGUAUUCUGGUGGGUGAAGGGAUGUCUGAGCAGCACUGUGUGGUGAGCUACUGUUGUUAGGGGUGCAAUGCUGUCACUCCCAGGAUGCUAGUCCUAGGGAGAGAGGACAGACAUGUUGGGGUGCAGGGCAUGUUGAGGUGGUAUAUGUUGGGGGUCCAGGGAAUGUUGGGCCACAGGACAUGUUACAGUGUGAAAAACACUUGGGUGUGGGACAUGUUUGAUUGUGAUGCCUGUUAGCCCAGGGGGCAUAUUGAGGUGUGGGGAUAUUGGGCUGUGGUAUAUGUGGUACAUGGGCUGUGGGGGUGGGGGUGGUUCAUGUUGGGCCAUGAGGCAUACUUGAAUUUGGAGAAUGUUGGUGUGUUCAGUAUGCUGGGGUAUGGGGAUUUUGAGCCAUAGGGCCUAGUGGUUAGGGAUCAUGUUGGUUUGCUAGACACGCUAGUGUGCAAGGCAUGCUGGAGUGCAGGACAUUCUGGAGGAGGAGCUUAACCUUACACUGUGGCCAGUGCAUGCAUGGAGGUCUCUACUGAGGUACAGUGGCAGGCCCUUUCCUUGGGAGCUUCAAGCAGGAAGUCCAACAAGGUUAAGGAUUGACUGCCUUGGAGAAUGAAGCCUGGUUCUAUGUGAAGACAGCUGCAGCUCCCCUCUAGCCCCACCCCCACCCCGCAAGCUCUGAAGGGCACAGAAUGGAAGGAGUGACUGAGCAGGCCUGAAGGCCACUGCUUAUCGUCGGAGUUCCGUGCCAAGCACGUCCUCCUGAUCCCACAAGGAUACUUUCUGUCUCCUAAGCAGAGGGAGGCACCCUCACGAGUGCUAGCACAGGAGCUACUGCUGGGGGAUACACAGUGCCCCUGACAGCAGGAUCAGCUGAUGUCUGGCUGCAGGUGGAGGGCUCAUCGUUGGGGAUGGGACGAGGGCCCCAGUCUAGGGCAACCCCUUCUGCCUUCAGGCCUUUCUCCCUGCCAUUAUGGAUCUCAGCCUGGCGCUCAUGGGCAGGUGGAAGCUGGGCUCAACAUGCAGUAGGACUGCCCUAGGGGAUCCUGGCAUCCUGUCUAGGUCUAGAGUUCAUCCAAGGAACUGGAGUGCUAUGGAGGAACUUUGCAAAGGGGUGGCCGUGGGCUUACCCAUUGGAUAGCAAGUUCUUGAAAGGCACUGGGACACCAGAGGUCACAGGACCUUUUGUCAGUCAUGGCCAGGAAGGCCAGGUUCAAACUAAAAUCUUCUUCACUCUUAACCUCCCAGCUCCAUCAGUUAGCCCCACAAUACUCAUAACUCCCUACGGGCCAUGGGAAACACUGGGUUCAUUACCUAGCUAAUCCCUACCCUCCCCAGGUCCAGCUGAAGGGCCAGGAAGAGGACAGUGCCUCAUACCCUUUUAGAGGGACAGCUGUUCCCACGCUGGGCUGUACUCCACCUCUCGUUGCGAAGCCCCUCUGGUCUGUACAUUGCCUUGCUAUUACCAAGUGUUGGUUUUAUAAUCUGGAGGAGAGGAGAAGGUGCAGAAAGGCAGAGGAAGCAGUUCCCUUGCCUGUCUGUCUCCCAUCCUCUCUCAGUCUCCGUCAUUCAUAGUCUUAGACCCCUGCGCUCCCACUGCCUUUCUCUCCCUCUUCCUCCUUGCCUUAUUUCUUCUAUUCCUCUGGCAAAUGUGAGGCCGAGGCCAUGGCCCAAGGUUGGGGACAACACUGUAGCUGCAGCUGCAGACAGGAGGCAGCUUUCAUGAUGUGCCAGAUGCAGACAUAAGGGGAUGGGGCCUCUGUUGGGGCCCUUUAGGCUCAGGUCCAGAAGGUUGGUUUUGAGUUAUCUUUUUCAGGCCCACAAAAAUUUGAAAGUGGGGCUCUUACCAACUAGUAUCCCUGAGAACACUUCUUUCAACCCAGGGGACUCAGAAGUGUGUCUGAGGACAGGCAUGGUGGCACAUGCCUUUAAUCCCAACACUCAGAAGGGAGAAGUAGGUGGGUCUCCAUGAGUUUGAGGCCAGCCUGGUCUACAUAGUGAGUUCCAGGGCAGCAAGGGCUACAUAGAAGAAAAACAAAACAACCAGAAAUCUCUUUCUCUCCCUCUCUCUCCUCCCCGCCCCGCCCCCAUGGGUGUGGUGUGAAUGUCGGCUUGUCUGAAUUCUUGGGGCUACAACCCCUUCUCUGUGGAACAACUCUCCACCAGAACAAAAAUCCAUAGGUCUCUGUGGAUUAGCCUAGGCGUCAUGGAGUCCAGACCUCCAGCAGCCCCCACCCCCAGUCUUCCAGCCACUCUUUAUAAGGCCUAUCAGCCACCACUCACCACUCUCAUGGCCAAAGAGCCCAGGUCCAUGGGCAUGAGGUAGGAGAUGGUUCUCAGAGCAAUAUGGUCUGUAGAUCCUGUCACUCCCAGAGUCCCAAGAGCUCUGUAAGCCCCAGUCCUUAUGACAGUCCAGGGCCUGCAGUUCUCAAGUACUCACACCCUGUGCUGCCAUGCAGUGGUCUGAGCUCCAUCCUGGGCAUUGUCAGGAAGGCUCUGAGCUCUUGGUCGUCCCUGGAUUUUCAUGUAUGGGCCCAUCUCAUUGGACUCAUAGUUACAGAUGCAGCUUUAAUCUUGCCUUAGCAUGGCAGUGUGGCCUCCCUCUGAGUGUUGCAGACAUUUGUCAUGUGGACUUGGCUAUCACCUAGGCAUUACUGGCACUGACCAGUUAACAUUCACACGCUGAAGAGCUGUGCUGCCCAGUCUGGGUGAGGAGUGCUGUAUGUCUGGAUGUCCUCUGUCCUUAGGCUCUGGCUCUGCCGAAUGGAACAAAGGACAACACAGACAGGCCCAGGAACGGUAGCAUGGAAACCUCUGCUUCCUAACAGCCUCUGACUGCCCACAUUCUGGGCAGAUGCCUGGUCAGGGGUAGUCCUUGAGACCCUAAGGCAUGGUGCUUUUGUGCAGUCUCUGUGUGGGUAUCCUUGGGUCUUUGAUGUCUCUAAAGAGCCCCCUCUAUGCUGGACAUGGUUUCUGGCUCAUGAAACCUUACAAUCAUGUCUUCUACACUCCACUGGGAGUUCUGGGAAAGGGAAAAGGCCCAUGCCAGCUUUGUACCACAGAAAACCCUCCAUGGGCUGGCCUUGGGCUCCUGGUCAGCACCCAUCUGGACCCUCUGUAUAGAAGCCACCAGAGGUCCAGGUGGGGCUUCCUGGGAGCUUCCCAGGGGCAAGAGUCUGAAUCUGUUUUCAGUUAAAUAGAGGACAGUUAUGAGACACUGUCUUAUAGACCUCAAGCCUGGCAUCUAGCAAAGUCCAGCCUCAGGGCUGCAGAAGCACCCAGGGACACAGCUAUCACUGAGCUGGGCAGGUCCAGGAGGAGGAGUGCCCUUCUCCCCGGAGGAGCAGUUCUUCUCUGUAUGCAUUUUCCGGGCCCCUGACGCAAGCAAGAGAUAAAAGUGUGGAGGGGUAGCUGGCCAGGACUGACCCUAUCCCAGUUCCUGGGCCAGCAGCCCCCUACCCUGGGGGCCCCAUUGCCAAAGGACCUGCUUAUUCACAGCAGGUCUUUGUGCCCCAGUCUCGCACGUGCGGGGGUGGGACGGGGUCCUUGGCACAGAGCCGCUCUCUGACCACACGGGACUGUGCUGGCCAAGGUCUCAGCCAUGUAUAAAAGGGGUGCCCGGGCUGCAAGCAGCAGGACUUCACCAAGCAACAGCCAAGUCCUCUGCCACUCCUUUCAAGCUCUGCACAGUUCUCGGGCCACCCGGUGCCCUCCGGCAGUCUGGACCCAGGGGACCGACCCUUCUGCUGCUGCUGCCUGCAACUAUCAAAGGAUGGCCUGCACAUUCUCGCUGGCUGUUCCUUUUUCCUAUGCAUAUACUUCUUUGUGGAUCUGGUCUAAAGAGGUAUAGCGCAUGGGAAAAUGGAGCAGUGAGAUCUUCCCCACCCAAACAAAGCAUCUGCUUCCCGACCAGGCGACUUCUGCUUCCCUCCCACUGGACCCGGGGCUGGGUGCUUUUCUGUCCGCUCCAGGACACUGUAAGAGAAGAGCCACACUGCAUUUCCGGUGUCUUAGGGGAACAGCGUUGGCCCCACCCAGGCAGACUUUAGGAACCAGUUGUGCAGGUGUUAAAAUGGCGGGUUUGAGAUGUAAUGGAGGGGGAACUCUGGGGCAGAUCCGACCUAUCCAAGAUUUUACACAGGGUAUUGGAACAGGAACUGAAGUGUACUUAGGCAAUCCUGGGGUCCUGGGGACCUUAGAAGAGGUGGAUGGACUCAGGACUUGAUCUUUGAAAUUUUCUUUACAAGUGUGAAAUCAGUGUGAACACAUUUUCACACAAGUGGGUGACCUUGGGUCUGAUGUUGGAGGAGGUAAAAGGACCGGCUGAGGGGUCCGUGGGUGGGCUCUGGGUUCAAUCUGUGUGGUUUCUUCUCACCAUUAUUACAUUUUUUUAAUAAUGGGUGUGGUUGAUUUUUUUGAGCCGAAGUUCUAGAGAAGCUGAACACUCAGUGGCAGAAUGCUCGCCAUUGAUGAGUGAGGGGCUCUUUGGGUUAAAUUUCCAGAACUGAAAAAAAGAAAGAAAGAAAGAAAGAAAGAAAGAAAGAAAGAAAGAAAGAAAGAAAGAAAGGAAGGAAGGAAGAAAGAGAGAAAGAAAGAAAGAGGGAGAGAAAAAAAGAAAGAAAGGAACCAAGCAAGCAAGGAAGGAAGAAAGAAAAAAAGAUCAGGAAAGCUGACAAAAAUAAAAUGUUUGGACCAA